UUAACUGAAACCAAAAAGAGGUAUAUUACUGUUAAUAAUAAAAUUGAAUUACAUAUUCCAGUUAAG
rnacentral:tRNA from 1 species